UAACUGCGCUCGCGCACCAGUCUGUCGGUCAACGCGAUUGAGAACGCGUGUGUUGUGUUUUGUAACGGGUUACGGUAGCGCUCGUGUGCUUCAAGAUGACGCGUCGAAAAAGUGUGUGUUUAAAGUGGACUUUAGUUUUAUUAGUUGUUAUAUUUUGUCCAUCAGUGUGCCCGCGACCACAAGACUCUUCUCCGUCUUUGAUAGGCAGUACAACAAUAAACAUUGACAAAGAUAAACCAACAGAAAAUCCUAUUAGGGAACUCAGCACGAGAAAUCAAGAUGGUCAAGAAAAAGCGGAACAAAAACAACCGAUCCCAGCAGAAAACCAAGCAGAAAACCAAAACUCAGGAAGAGAAGUUAAAAAUAAAGCACCCAUAAGAGAGUCGAUUAAAUUAGUAGCUAAUCAAUUGCUACAAAAGUCUUCAAAUAAUACAGAUGAAGCAUCUAUUGUGAUUGACACAAGAAUACCUCCAAAAAUAAAAAAUCAAGUGACUAACAAGCACAGUAUUAAAACAAGAAACGAUGAUGGAGAUGAACCAAUGGAAAACGGUCACGCGGGCAUCGCAGUUCCAGUUACCAUGGAAGAUUUGGAAAAAGAAAAUAAAAUAAGUGAAUCUUCAACUUCAAAUGAAGGUAUUUCUACAUGGGUUCUACUGAGUAAUCCCACCAACUUUACUGGAUCUACGGAACCUACCAAAGUUGAGUCGUCUACUAAGAAACAAAAGCCAACAACACCGAAAAAUAAACUAAAGCGGCCACAAAAUAAAAAUCCAAUUAUCAAGCGUCCGAUAAUAGGCAGCACUAAUAAGUCUGAUUUAGUUGCGGGUGGAUCAGCCAUAAAUGAAAAUGUUUACAAUAAAAUUAAAGAUACAGUUUUGUCAAACGUUCAGAAAAAUAAAGUUUCUACCACUCAACGUACAACCACCGUAAGCAGCACGUCACCGCCGACUACAACUGAAGUUCUUACGACAAAAAAAGAAGUAACAAAAGUAGUUAGCACCUCUACAUUAUCGCCUGUUGUUAAAAUCACUUCCAAACCAUCAAAAAAGAAAAAUAAAAACAAACAUAAAACAACUAGUACUACUUUAGCUCCAGUUGAAAAUGAAUCUGCCUUGCUGCCAAUGGAACCUAAAGAACAAGAAAUUGAAUUAGAAAUCAGUACUCCCGCGACUACUACAAAGAAGCCUAAACGUAGUUCAACAAGGAAGAAGAACAAAACAAAAAAACGCAAGACAUCUAAGAAACCAGAAACUGAAACAUCUGUUUCAGAUAAUAAAACUUCAAGCAAUAAGACAAAAUCAGCAAAGCCAGCAAAAAAACCAACAAGUAUAACAGGUCCAUUUACAACCCAAAUUUAUAAUUACCUUUCGAGAGAAGUUAUGCCUGUUGGAGUGGGAGUUAUAGGUCUUGCUAGUUUGGUUGGGCUAGCCAGUUACUUCCUUUAUCCAUUUUCAACACCCGUGCGAAGAAAUUUCGAGGUCGACAAAAAAGAUAACUUGUAUAAAAAUAAUGCUGAAGAAUAUGCAAUCGAAGGUAAUGGACAAGCUGAAGAAGACAUGCUUGGAACUGUUCUUGCUGGUAUGCCGGCACACGCAAAACAAAAAAUUAACCCAUAUGCUGGCCAAACUGUUGCACAUGGAAAUACCCGAUACACUGUUAAGAAAGAACAAGAUAUUAGAUAUCGUCACGUCGCUGCAAAUCGUGAACCAAAUUAUAAUCUACACUACCCACAACAAAAGACAGGAAUUGCUCAUGGUGCAGUGUACUCCAAACCGGUAAAUUAUAAUCCGCUUCAGUAUGAAACUAGAAAUAUUUACACUACAGAAAGUAAAUAUACAUAUGAUAAGGGAGCCAGUGCAUAUACACCUUAUCCUGCUGUCGAGCCUAUUUAUGCAGCACCUCAAACUGGUCCAUCAGCUGGAUCUAGCUAUGGAAGCGACGCAUCCAAUUCUGUGGUAUACGGAGUUAAACCUAAUUCUGACACUGAUUUUAGACCAGUUUAUCCUUUUGAGGGACAUAUUUAUAGUGAAACGACCAGUAACCCAGCGACUUACUCUCCAACAUCUAUGUACUUGGGCUCAAAUGAUGACUCCGAUGAUACAGAGAACAGUAAAUAUGAGGAAAAUGAAAGCAAUGGUGAGGAUGUUGAUAACAAAUUUGUAGUUGGUAAUGUACCAAAGGAAUUAUCGGAUUCUGCUACUCCGGCCGUUGUUCCAGAACAUGGACCUAGAAAAUUAAGGAGAAGACGACAUGCUAUCAAUAAAAGAAGUGUUCGGGGUAAUAUUGAAGAAAUCUUAAAUGAUGCUAAAAACAGGAAAGAUAUUUUUAUUAGUAAUGAAAUAGACGAUUCUUUUGGUUAUGUAAAGCAUAUAUCAUCAUUAACCAAUGAAGUCUCAGCAAAUAAUGAAAUGACAGUGCAACCUGAAUCUAAAGAUUUUUACACAAUAUACGCAGAACCAGCUAAUCCGUCAGUAGAUCAGAAGACAACAUCUACAGAUGUACCUAGCACGUUUAAAAAUGACGUUGUUGAAAGCGUGUCUACAGUUCCAAUAAAUAAUAAUCAAGAAAAAUCAACAACUGAGGCUGCCAUGACUAAUGUUCAAGACGUAACAACAAAAGCUUUUAAAGUUUACGAAGUGUUCUCAACUAAAACUGAUGAACAAAGCAGUCCUAUAGUGAAAGACAUCACAGCAUCGCAAGAAACAACAUCAGUUAGAAACAUGAUGACAGAAACGACUACGGAAUUAAAAUCAGAAACAACAUCAACAAUGCCUCCGUCUGUUUCAGCAGUUUCGGAACAAAAUCCACCAAAAAGUACAACGAAUUUUAUUGACACAUCAGACGUAGUAACAUAUCCCCCGCCUAAUUCAGAAAAUGGAUUCUUUUCUUUGUUAAAACGUUUCUUGGAAUUUAAAUACAGGCUUGGAUUGAGCAUACUUCAAACGACUUCAGAUAAUUUGAAAAGGUAUUUAGAAGGUACGGUACACAAUGUAGCUAAGGCAUCUUAGAAUAUAAAAACAUAUUUUUUUAACUAUUAAGAUACUCACCGAAAAAAUAUUUAAUUUCUUAAGUAUUUUGGUAUUGUAAGACUUCCAUUUUGAUUAUGUUGCAUCAAAAUUUGAAUAAACAGGGAUUAUAAGAAUAAAACUGUUGAUAAACAUUAUUUUUGGAGCUAUUUUAUAUUUUCAGAAUGUUAGCCUCGUUGACAUGAGGAAAGCCUACUGAAUUUAUAUUGUGAUAAAGUUGUAGUUUUUUUUUUCUAAAACAUAGGUCUCAUUGUAAUCGACUUUCGAAGAUUUAAGAAUUUAAUAAUCGAUUCCUAUAUUUGAUUUAUCAAGCAUA
rnacentral:misc_RNA from 1 species